rnacentral:lncRNA from 1 species
AUAAAGCUGAUUAGGGGAGAGUGAAAUAACACUGGAAUGCUCUUUCAUGAUUCAGGAUUAAAUGUUCUAGCAAGGAAACAUGAAGCUGGUCCAACGUGCUGCUGGGAUGGCUCCUUGAAGCUUGAACAUGAUGACCUUCAGCAAAGGAGGUGGAGAUGUACAGAGGAGGAGACCGUUAGUUCCCUGAGUGAAGAGAUGCUAUCUUGGUAUCUCCAGCUUCCAACCGGGGGCUUGGCACAGAAUAGGGGCUUGGUAAAUGUUUUCCAAAUGAAUGGGAUGUCUGAUGGAAAGAAGACAAGGUGAAGGAAUUCCUGGGUAAUAUGGAGAUGAGAAUCUGUGAGAAGGUAAGAAUAUUGAGAAUAUCGAGAACACUUCAAUAUUCCAAACUUCAAUGGAAAUAUACGAACUGGAGUACACUCUUCUUCUGCCCUUGGACAUCAGGCUCUCUGGCCUUUGGACUCCAGGACUUAUACCAGCGCCCCUCUGGGUUCUCAGGCCUCUGUACUUGAACUGAGCCACACUGCCAGCAUGCCAGCUUCUCCAGCUUGCCAGGCCUGCUGUGGGACUUCUCAGCCUCCAUAAUCAUGUGUGCCAAUUCCCCUAAUAAAUCUCCUCUCAUCUGUCCACGUAUCUAUAUUUGCAUUCUGUUGGUUCUGUCUCUCUAGAAAAGUAUUACUAAUACACAGGUAGAGGAAGUCCCCAAGAAGAAUACUGAACUGACACCAAU